UACGUAGGGUGCGAGCGUUGUCCGGAAUUAGUGGGCGUAAAGAGCUCGUAGGCGGUGUGUCACGUCGGCCGUGAAAACCUGCAGCUUAACUGUGGGCGUGCGGUCGAUACGGGCAUCACUGGAGUUCGGCAGGGGAGACUGGAAUUCCUGGUGUAGCGGUGAAAUGCGUAGAUAUCUGGAGGAACACCGGUGGCGAAGGCGGCAUCCUGGACCGGCAUUGACGCUGAGGCGCGAAAGCCAGGGGAGCAAACGGG
rnacentral:rRNA from 1 species